GACGAACGCUGGCGGCGUGCUUAACACAUGCAAGUCGAGCGGUAAGGCCCUUUCGGGGGUACGACGAGCGGCGAACGGGUGAGUAACACGUGGGUGACCUGCCCUCAGCUCUGGGAUAAGGCCUGGGAAACCGGGUCUAAUACUGGAUAUGACUCCAUGGACGCAUGUUGUGGGGUGGAAAGCCUUGUGCGGCUGAGGAUGGGCCCGCGGCCUAUCAGCUUGUUGGUGGGGUGAGGGCCUACCAAGGCGACGACGGGUAGCCGGCCUGAGAGGGCGACCGGCCACACUGGGACUGAGACAC
rnacentral:rRNA from 1 species